rnacentral:rRNA from 1 species
UACGGAGGGUGCAAGCGUUAUCCGGAUUUACUGGGUUUAAAGGGUGCGUAGGUGGGUCUGUAAGUCAGUGGUGAAAUCUCCGAGCUUAACUCGGAAACUGCCAUUGAUACUGAUGGACUUGAGUCAAGUCGAGGUAGGCGGAAUUGACGGUGUAGCGGUGAAAUGCUUAGAUAUCGUCAAGAACACCAAUAGUGAAGACAGCUUACUGGGCUUAAACUGACGCUGAGGCACGAAAGUGUGGGGAUCAAACAGG